GAAAUGCGAUACGUAAUGUGAAUUGCAGAAUUCAGUGAAUCAUCGAAUCUUUGAACGCAUAUUGCGCUCUCUGGUAUUCCGGAGAGCAUGCUUGUUUGAGUAUCAGUAAACACCUCAACUCCUCUUUCUUUUUUGGAAAUGGGAGCUGGACUUGAGUGAUCCCAACGCUUUUCUCACCGAAAAGUGGCGGGUUACUUGAAAUGCAGGUGCAGCUGGACUUUUCUCUGAGCUAAAAGCAUAUCUAUUUAGUCUGCCUAAAAAACAGAUUAUUACCUUUGCUGCAGCUAACAUAAAGGAGAUUAGUUCUUGUGCUGACUGAUGCAGGAUUCACAGAGACAGCUUCGGCUGGCUUUGUAAACUCGAUCUCAAAUCAAGUAAGACUACCCGCUGAACUUAA
rnacentral:misc_RNA from 1 species